ACGAACGCUGGCGGCAGGCUUAACACAUGCAAGUCGAACGGAUGUAGCAAUACAUUAGUGGCGCACGGGUGAGUAACGCGUGGGAACGUGCCUUUCAGUUCAGGAUAACAGCGGGAAACUGCUGCUAAUACUGGAUAUUCCCCCCGGGGGAAAGAUUUAUCGCUGAAAGAUCGGCCCGCGUAAGAUUAGGUAGUUGGUGGGGUAAUGGCCUACCAAGCCUACGAUCUUUAGCUGGUCUGAGAGGAUGAUCAGCCACACUGGAACUGAGACACGGUCCAGACUCCUACGGGAGGCAGCAGUGGGGAAUAUUGGACAAUGGGCGAAAGCCUGAUCCAGCCAUGCCGCGUGAGUGAUGAAGGCCUUAGGGUUGUAAAGCUCUUUUGUCAGGGAAGAUGAUGACGGUACCUGAAGAAUAAGCACCGGCUAACUUCGU
rnacentral:rRNA from 1 species